AGGUCCUUGGUCUCCUUAUAUGGCUUGGAAAAUCCUCACCUCAUAAGCUAGCUUUUGGGGUUGAGUUAGGCCCAAGGUCCAUUCUUAUCAUGGUAUCGGAGCCAGGCCCGUCUCAAUUAUUGUUACCGAUGUUAGCCCCCAAUUAUGUUGUCUACGCUUUAGAGAUCUGGGCGUGAGGGGGGUGUUGAGUUAUCCCACAUCGGAGGGAUUUGAGGUCCUUGGUGGCUUGGGCAAUCCUCACCUCAUAAGCUAGCUUUUGGGGUUGAGUUAGGCCCAAGGUCCAUUCUUUUCAUUGAGUUAGGCCCAAGGUCCAUUCUUCUCAUGGUAUCAGGGCCAGACUCAUCCCAAUUAUUGUUACCGAUGUUGGGCCCCCAUUUAUGUUGUCCACGCUCCAGGAUGUUGAGUUGUCGCACAUCGGAGGGAUUUGAGGUCCUUGGUGGCUUGGG
rnacentral:lncRNA from 1 species